rnacentral:rRNA from 1 species
CGAGGUGGCGAACGUUGUUCGGAUUUACUGGGCGUAAAGGGUCCGCAGGCGGUCCGGUGUGUCAGAUGUGAAAGCCCACAGCUUAACUGUGGAAUUGCAUUUGAAACUGCCGGACUAGAGUACUGGAGGGGAGAAGGGAACACUUGGUGUAGCGGUGAACUGCGUAGAUAUCAAGUGGAACACCGGUGGCGAAGGCGCUUCUCUGGACAGAUACUGACGCUCAUGGACGAAAGUUAGGGUAGCGAAAGGGAUUAGAUACCCCAGUAGUCC